rnacentral:rRNA from 1 species
AUUGAACGCUGGCGGGAGGCCUAACACAUGCAAGUCGAGCGGAGCGGCGGACGGGUGAGUAAUGCCUAGGAAUCUGCCUGGUAGCGGGGGAUAACGUCCGGUAACGGGCGCUAAUACCGCAUACUAUCAGAUGAGCCUAGGUCGGAUUAGCUAGUGGGUGGGGUAAAGGCCUACCAAGGCGACGAUCCGUAACUGGUCUGAGAGGAUGAGCAGUCACACUGGGACUGAGACACGGUCCAGACUCCUACGGGAGGCAGCAGUGGGGAAUAUUGGACAAUGGGCGAAAGCCUGAUCCAGCCAUGCCGCGUGUGUGAUGAAGGUCUUCGGGUUGUAAAGCACUUUAGGCUGGGAAGCGUUACCAGCAGAAUAAGCACCGGCUAACUUCGUGCCAGCCGCCGCGGUAAUAC